rnacentral:rRNA from 1 species
UACGGGGGGAGCAAGCGUUGUUCGGAUUUACUGGGCGUAAAGGGCGCGUAGGCGGCCACCGCAAGUCAAUUGUGAAAUCUCCGGGCUUAACUCGGAAAGGUCAACUGAUACUGCGGGGCUAGAGUGCGGAAGGGGCAACUGGAAUUCUCGGUGUAGCGGUGGAAAUGCGUAGAUAUCGAGAGGAACACCUGCGGCGAAGGCGGGUUGCUGGGCCGACACGUGACGCUGAGGCGCGAAAGCCAGGGGAGCGAACGGG